AUUGAACGCUGGCGGAAUGCUUUACACAUGCAAGUCGAACGGGCAGCACGGGGGCAACCCUGGUGGCGAGUGGCGCACGGGUGAGUAAUACAUCGGAACGUAUCCUAGAGUGGGGAUAGCCGGCGAAAGCCGGAUUAAUACCGCAUACGCUCGAAAGAGGGAAAGUGGGGGAUCGUAAGACCUCACGCCCAAGGAGCGGCCGAUGCCGGAUUAGCUUGUUGGUGAGGUAAAGCUCACCAAGGCGACGAUCCGUAGCUGGUCUGAGAGGACGACCAGGCCACACUGGGACUGAGACACGGCCCAGACUCCUACGGGAGGCG
rnacentral:rRNA from 1 species